UCCCGUUUAGCUCAAUCGGCUUAGAGCGUCCGGCUUUUAACCGGAAGGUUGCGAGUUCGAGUCUCGCAGUGGGAG
rfam:Schizosaccharomyces cryophilus OY26 unplaced genomic scaffold supercont4.4, whole genome shotgun sequence.